CGUAGGGUGCAAGCGCUGUCCGGAUUUACUGGGCGUAAAGAGCGCGUAGGCGGCUCGUUAAGUGAGAAGUGAAAGCUGUGGGCUCAACCCACAAACCGCUUUUCAUACUGGCGAGCUGGAGUGAUGCAGAGGUGGAUAGAAUUCCCGGUGUAGCGGUGAAAUGCGUUGAUAUCGGGAGGAAUACCCAUGGCGAAGGCAGUCCACUGGGCAUCAACUGACGCUGAGGCGCGAAAGCGUGGGUAGCAAACAGGAUUAGAUACCCUGGUAGUCCACGCCCUAAACGAUGGAUGCUAGGCGUAGGAGGUAUCGACCCCUCCUGUGCCGCAGCUAACGCACUAAGCAUCCCGCCUGGGGACUACGGCCGCAAGGUUG
rnacentral:rRNA from 1 species